AUCGAAACGCGUAUUAGAUUUUUAAUGUAACACAUUUAUUUUUAUAUAGAAUUUAUAAUCAAGAUAUUUUAAGGACACUUAAAUGUUUAUAUGUUAGGUGACUCCAAUAGUAAAAUAAUAUAGAUAUUAUCUAUAAGCAUAUUUAAUUCCUGAGUACAAAAUUCUUACGACUAAAAAAUAUCACGUUGUCAAUGUAAAAUGGGAAAAAAAUGACAAGAACAUCCGCUGUUAAUGGACCCCAAGUUUCCUAUAAUCUCACAAUAAACUAUUAAUUAAAAAAAAACAAUUUAAUUUUAUGCAUUUUAAAGUCUUAAAUAUACAGCCUAUACCCUACUUAAUUUAAACGUUUUAACAAAGAAAAUAGACCUAAAUACCUACACAUGAAACUUAAAACUAGACAUCAGACAUCUGACAGUUUAUCAUAUUACUUGGUCAACUAGAGCUAGCAAUACCGACAUCAAUAUAUUUUUAGUCAGAAAAUUAUAAUAAAAUUUAGUAAAAAUAUUUAUAGUCAUCACUUUUUAAUUGGCACUAUAACUAGUAAGAAUAAGUAAUGUAUUGAUAAUUUUUAAUGCUUGGUAAUAAGUCAUGAGCAACCGUUAAAAUUAGGUUCUCUCACGCUGAGUCUAUCAAGUGGCACGUCGAUAAUUCUCUCAACGGAUGCUAUUCGGAAGGGAGCAACAGAUAAGGUGUUCCUUCUUUCCAUUGGGAAUCGGCGGCGGUGGCGGUAAAGGUGAAAGAGAGUUCGAAGAAAUACCCAAGGCACAGUUCUUAUACUCGGCAAGGAGUCUGUAUGUGCUAACGCCCCACCACCAACUUAACCACUGCACUGUAUUCGUUCUAUACCCUCUGUUCCAUGUAGUGGCGGCAUUAGGUGAUAUCUUAUAGUGUGUGUGGCCCAGACAGGUGUAAUGGCAAACACAAAAAUUAUCGAUAUUUUCAACUUAGUGUAACAUCGAUAUAAAUUAUCAAAAAUAUUAUGUAGUUUCUCAACAUUUCUCUAGGACUUUGCUUCAAUUAAAAAACUUCUAAACGACUGAUAUGGUUGAUGUUAGAUUGAUAAACUUUAAGUAAAAAAUAUUCAUUUGAAACGUUUAGAGUAACCAGUUAUUACAAGUUACAAAUAUUUUAAAAUCUGAUGCUCCUGGCUGCAACUCUUAUUCCAAGGCUGUUAAACAUAACUUUAGAGCCAAAAUCACACGUAUUUAUAGAAACCAGAUUAAUGUAUUCACUUUAAAAAUGAGAAGUCGUUUUUCUUAGAAUUUGAAAUCAGAUCAUUCGCAUAUAAAAAAACAUAAAAUUAAUUGCUUAUAUCUUUAGGGAAGACAAAUUUUGAAUUAAUCGUUAUAAGCAACGAGACGUUUUAAAAAAUGCAUAACUACUUAUAUUUUAAUGUAUAUUUCAACAUGCAUAGUUUUUUUUUUAAUAAUAGUAAUGAUGAACUAUGUUUUACCACUGUAAAUGUCAAAGAUCAAAACGUGAUACUUGGUGAUGACUGUGCAAUGAACGUAGCAAUGGUUGUUGCUAUGCGCACAGUAUGACAUUUAUACGUGUCGAAUAGCAUUUACUUUGGAUAUGAGUGACGACAGCAGGCAAUACAGCCAGAGGAAAAGAAUUAAAGAGUUAUACUAUAAGCACCACAUUUUAUAAGAAAUCAUACUAUUCGUUAACAUCCCUGAGGAUUGAACCCACGAGAAAUAAUAUUAAUUAUUGAUCUGUCUACAGAAAUUUUGUUCUUAACUUUAGUAUAUACAGUAAACUUUUUGUUCGUUGAUGUUUUAUUUUUAGAUAUUGAGAAAAACUAUAUAGAGUGUUCAGUAAGUAAGGGAACGGGUUUCUAUUCUGAUUAUUUGUAACAAUUUACCUGUUUCUUUACUUACUGAACACCUUGUAUAUUAGUCAUACAGUUUUGUUCAUAUAUUAUUACUCACAUAUAUGUAUUAUAGUAUAAGGCCGACUUUUCAUGGAAGCCAAUCCCACCGUUGGGAUCCUUGUCGGAAAAUAAUUUUUUGUUCGUCAAAAAUAUGGGAUAGGGUUUGAUUUAUUAGAUGAAACAAUUAUACGAUCCUUUGUUCGGAGAAAUCCACCCUAGUUACAAUCUACGGUACAGAUUUGCAAUGUGGUCGGAUUCAAUAUUACUUAAACAAUAAAAAUUGAGUAGCUUAUUACAAAACAUAUAGGAACCCAAAACCAAUUUUAUUUUAAGCAUCCAUUGGAUAAUAACUAGUCAAGUAGAUAUCUAAAAAGGAAGUUAAACAUUAUCAAUUACUGAAUUGAGAAAUAUGAUCCAAGAUGCUCGUAAUUCAUUAGAGGGUUGUUUUUUCAAUAUAAAUGGAUUUUUUAAAAUCUCUCUUAGUGUUAUUUAAAUGGUGCCUUAGAUUUCAGUAAGAGAUAAGUUGACAACUUAAUUGGUACUCGCCGUCUUGUCUACACUCUGAAAUGUUUUUACAGUCCUAACCAGUCCAUUCAAGUGCGAUCCAAUAAUCCGUUAAGAACCUACGCGGUGAUAUGUUUAUCGGCAACAA